GAUGAACGCUGACAGAAUGCCUAACACAUGCAAGUCUUUGGCACAGCUGUGCUUGUACAGCCUAGCCAAGUCGGACGGGUGAGUAACGUGUAAGGAACUUGCCCUGCAUUCAGGGAUAACAGACGUACACGACUGAUAAGCCCUGGCAAAGUCAGGCGGUCACAUGUCCAGCCCGAUGAAGGGAGAUGCUGUGGGGGGGGCUUGCGUACUGUUAGCUUGUUGGUGGGGUAACUGCCCACCAAGGGGCUGACAGGUGGCCGGCCUGAGAGGAUGGACGGCCACGAGGGGUAUGAGAUGCGGCCGUUACUCAUACGGGGGGUAGCAGUGGGGAAUAUUGGAGAAUGGGGGCAACCCUGAUCAAGCAAUUCUGUGUGUAAGAUGAAGUUUUUCGGAUUGAAAAGAGCUUUCAGCAGGGAAGAAAAAAAUGACGGUACCUGAAGAGGAAGCGACGGCUAAAUACGUG
rnacentral:rRNA from 1 species